AACGAACGCUGGCGGCGUGUUUAAGACAUGCAAGUCGCACGGUGUCAUUUUGGUAGCAAUACUUGGAUGGCAUAGUGGCGCACGGGUGAGUAACACGUGAAUUACAUGCCCUGUAGAGGGGGAUAGCCCAGGGAAACUUGGAUUAAUACCCCAUGGUCUCGCAAGAGUAAAAGGUGGCCGCAAGGCUGUCGCUGCAGGAUUGGUUCGCGCCCUAUCAGCUUGUUGGCGGGGUAACGGCCCACCAAGGCUACGACGGGUACCUGGUCUGAGAGGACCGUACGGGACACUGGAAAUGGGAACCAGGCCAGACACCUACGGGUGGCAGCAGUCGAGAAUAAUUCACAAUGGGGGCAACCCUGAUGGUGCAACGCCGCGUGGAGGAUGACGGUCUUCGGAUUGUAGACUCCUGUCAUCCGGGAGUAAGACCUGGGCAUUAACAGUGCACAGGGUUGAUAGUACCGGAAGAGGAAGGGACGGCUAACUUCGUGCCAGCCGCCGCGGUAA
rnacentral:rRNA from 1 species